AGCUGGUUAGUUGGUAAAGCACUUGUCUAGCGAAUAAGGGUCGUGAGUUCAAAUCUCACCUGAGCUG
rnacentral:tRNA from 1 species